rnacentral:rRNA from 1 species
UACGUAGGGGGCAAGCGUUGUCCGGAAUCAUUGGGCGUAAAGAGCGUGUAGGCGGCCAGAAAAGUCCGCUGUGAAAACUCGAGGCUCAACUUCGAGCUGUCGGUGGAAACUUUCUGGCUAGAGUCCGGAAGAGGAGAAUGGAAUUCCCGGUGUAGCGGUGAAAUGCGCAGAUAUCGGGAAGAACACCCGUGGCGAAGGCGGUUCUCUGGGACGGUACUGACGCUGAGACGCGAAAGCGUGGGGAGCAAACAGG